AGCAGCCGCGGUAAUUCCAGCUCCAAUAGCGUAUAUUAAAGUUGUUGCAGUUAAGAAGCUCGUAGUUGAACUUCGGGGUUUACUCAUUGGUCAGGCUUAACUGUCUGCACUGGUGAGAUGAAUCUCUACCUUCUGAGGAACUUUCAUGCCAUUUAUUUGGUGUGAUGGGAAAUCAGGACUGUUACUUUGAAAAAUUAGAGUGUUUAAAGCAGGCUAACGUCUGAAUACAUUAGCAUGGAAUAAUGAAAUAGGACGGAAUGGUUCUAUUUUGUGGUUUCUAGGAUCACCGUAAUGAUUAAUAGGGAUAGUUGGGGGCAUUAGUAUUCAAUUGUCAGAGGUGAAAUUCUUGGAUUUAUUGAAGACUAACUACUGCGAAAGCAAUUUGCCAAGGAUGUUUUCAU
rnacentral:rRNA from 1 species